AGCGAACGCUGGCGGCAGGCUUAACACAUGCAAGUCGAGCGGGCCCUUCGGGGUCAGCGGCAGACGGGUGAGUAACGCGUGGGAACGUGCCCUUCGGUUCGGAAUAACCCUGGGAAACUAGGGCUAAUACCGGAUACGCCCUUAUGGGGAAAGGUUUACCGCCGAAGGAUCGGCCCGCGUCUGAUUAGCUUGUUGGUGAGGUAACGGCUCACCAAGGCGACGAACAGUAGCUGGUCUGAGAGGAUGAUCAGCCACACCGGAACUGAGACACGGCCCAGACUCCUACGGGAGGCAGCAGUGGGGAAUAUUGGACAAUGGGGGCAACCCUGAUCCAGCCAUGCCGCGUGAGUGAUGACGGCCUUAGGGUUGUAAAGCACUUUUACCCGGGACGAUAAUGACGGUACCGGGUGAAUAAGCCCCGGCUAACUUCGUGCCAGCCGCCGCGGUAA
rnacentral:rRNA from 1 species